rnacentral:rRNA from 1 species
UACGUAGGGAGCAAGCGUUGUCCGGAAUCAUUGGGCGGAAAGCGCGCGUAGGCGGCCCGGUCAGUCCGUCGUGAAAGUCAAAGGCUCAACCUUUGAAUGUCGAUGGAUACUGCCGGGCUAGAGUCCGGAAGAGGCGAGUGGAAUUCCUGGUGUAGCGGUGGAAUGCGCAGAUAUCAGGAGGAACACCAAUAGCGAAGGCAGCUCGCUGGGACGGUACUGACGCUAAGGCGCGAAAGCGUGGGGAGCGAACAGG